rnacentral:lncRNA from 1 species
AUUUCUUGAUGGGCUGAUGGGGGCCCUUAUUGCCAUAUGUUUGGUAGGAUGGAAUUUGUGGAGAUGCUUCAAUUCCCAAGGAUCCUGUUUCUAAUAAUGACCAGUCUGAGCACAGUGAAACCUUUUGAUAAGGAAAAGGGAAGGAGAGUGAGAAUUCAAAGGAGGGAAAUCUUUAAUUCCUACCAGGAAAGGAGGCAGGAGGUUAAGGCCAGGAGCUUAGCCACCUUAUUCUUCUCAGAGGAGUACUUUGUAUCUAUGGAACUAUACACUAUGCAUGCAGGGUUGCCCAAGAUAGAAAGUCACAGUGGAGAGUUCUGACAACAGGUGAUACCUUGGAGGAGGAAAUGGCAAACUGUCCCAGUAUAUUAUUGCCAAGAAAACCUCAAGGAGAGUAUGAGAGUGAUAAAAGAUAUGAGGAUGAGCCUGCCAGUUUGGAAACUAUCCAAUAUGCUACUAGGGAAGAGCAGAGGACAACUACAAGUGGCUCUAGAAAGAUUAAAGUAGCUGAGCCAAAACCAAAAGGAAGCUCAGCUUAGAUAUAUCUGGUGAUAAAAGCAAAAUUCAAUGCUGUAAAAAUCAAUAUUGUAAGGUCCCUGGACUGUAAGAUCUAUGAACCAAGAAAAAGAAGAGAAAGAAAAGUUGGAUGUGGUCAAGCAGGAGACAGAAAAAUUAAACAUUGACACCUGGGGUAUCAGUAAAUUCAAGUGAUUAUUACAAUUACUACUUUGGGAAAGAAUUUUUUAGAAGAAAUGAAAUAGCCUUAGUAGUCAAUAAAAAGGUGAAAAAAAUAGACCCA